AAUGGUUUUUUUCUGCCCAUUGCAGCAAUUGCUGUUCCAUAUAAUUCAAAUUGUAAUACAAUAUAAGAAAUGAAAGAAGCAAUAAAUAUACAACUGAAAAUCAAUAUGAAUAUUUAAUGUGAUGGAUGUGCCGUCUCCCAUAUCCAGCCACAAACCCACAGAGACACCACAGACCACCUAAAUGAGCCUCGUGGGCCACUGGUGGUUCAUGAAUACAGUUUGGGAACCACUGCUUUGAAUGUAAAUCUAACACUCAAAAUCAUUACACCUCACAGGUGUAGCAGUUGCGACACACAAUGGUGCCUUCUUACUAGCUGACUCCUUGUUCAUAUACUCCUUUGUGAUCCUUUUUUAACCUUGUGACUCCUCUUGUUUGCUUUAUAGGGAUAGAGGAGUUCUACCAAUUUUGAAAAUUAAAAAGGAAACAAGAAAGCAGCCUUAGUGCAGGGCAUUUUUCUGAGGUCAGAAUCAAUCGUCUGGAGUUGCCACAGAAGCCUCAUGCUGAUUUCUUACCCUCAGUCAGACAUGCUCCAGGCACCCAUCCCCAUUAUGCUGAAGAAGAUAUGAAUGAUCCUUCAUGAUUACAUCCCAAACACAAUGAAGUGUACAGGUGAUGGUGAAGGCCAGAGUCAAAAUAAUGUGGGAUAGUUUUUACUGGAGAGAUUUGACUUCUAACUGGAAUUUGAACCUGCUUCGCUUGGACAUUGCUUUGAAGCCCGUUUAUACUUCAGUUUUUCCACUGACAUGAUACUGCUCAACUUGCAAAAGAGAAUGGGAGGGUCACAGCUGUCAAAGGUCAUUCAUAUAGCUGGAUAUCAAACAAAUCUAAUUAUUCAGAAAUCCAGUAAAGCGUUGCAGCUCUAGGACUGGAGUUCACCAGACACCAAAUGUGAAUUUCAUUUAUGGAGUGACAGAACCUAGGUCAUCUCACCUUUGUUUAAAUCAUCUCUCAGAAACUUCUAUCAAUGACAAGGAGCCCCAGUGAUUCUGCAAUAAAGUCUUCUCUUUGGAAAUAAUA